GGUGACGUGGCCGAGUUGGUCCAAGGCGUGGGAUUUAAGAAGUUUUCUUGCCUCCCCAUGGGCGCGAGCCCGCGCGAGUUCGAACCUCGCCGUCACCA
rnacentral:tRNA from 1 species